rnacentral:rRNA from 1 species
AUUGAACGCUGGCGGCAGGCCUAACACAUGCAAGUCGAGCGAGCGGCGGACGGGUGAGUAAUGUCUGGGAAACUGCCUGAUGGAGGGGGAUAACUACUGGAAACGGUAGCUAAUACCGCAUACCAUCAGAUGUGCCCAGAUGGGAUUAGCUAGUAGGUGGGGAAACGGCUCACCUAGGCGACGAUCCCUAGCUGGGCUGAGAGGAUGACCGGCCACACUGGAACGGGGCCACGGUCCAGAGUCCUACGGGGGUCAGUAGGGGGGAAUAUGCGACAAUGGGGGCAAGCCUGAUGCAGCCGUGCCGCGUGUGGGAAGAAGGCCUUCGGGUGGUAAAGCACUUUCAGCGAGGAGGCUUUACUCGCAGAAGAAGCACCGGCUAAUUCCGUGCCAGCAGCCGCGGUAAUU